GACGAACGCUGGCGGCGUGCCUAAUACAUGCAAGUAGGACGCAGUUGCGAACGGGUGAGUAACGCGUAGGUAACUGGCUAUUAGUGGGGGCUAACUAUUGGAAACGAUAGCUAAUACCGCAUACUAGUAGAUGGACCUGAGUUGUAUUAGUUAGGAGGUAGGGUAAUGGCCUACCUAGGCAACGAUACAUCGCCGACCUGUGAGGGUGGUCGGCCACACUGGGACUUAGACACGGCCCAGACUCCGACGGGAGGCAGCAGUAGGGAAUCUUCGGCAAUGGGGGGAACCCUGACCGAGCAACGCCGCGUGAGUGAAGAAGGUCUUCGGAUCGUAAAGCUCUGUUGUUAAGGAAGCGGUACUUAACCAGAAAGGGACGGCUAACUACGUGCCAGCAGCCGCGGUAAUAC
rnacentral:rRNA from 1 species